GACGUAGGGCGCGAGCGUUGUCCGGAUUUAUUGGGCGUAAAGAGCUCGUAGGCGGCUUGUCGCGUCACUGCGAAAACCCGAGGCUCAACUUCGGGCUUGCAGUCGAUACGGGCAGGCUAGAGUUCGGUAGGGGAGACUGGAAUUCCUGGUGUAGCGGUGAAAUGCGCAGAUAUCAGGAGGAACACCGAUGGCGAAGGCAGGUCUCUGGGCCGAUACUGACGUGAGGAGCGAAAAGCGUGGGGGAGCGAACAGG
rnacentral:rRNA from 1 species